GAUGAAGAACGUAGCGAAAUGCGAUAAGUAAUGUGAAUUGCAGAAUUCAGUGAAUCAUCGAGUCUUUGAACGCACAUUGCGCCCCCUGGUAUUCCGGGGGGCAUGCCUGUCCGAGCGUCAUUGCUGCCCUCAAGCACGGCUUGUGUGUUGGGCCGUCGUCCCCCUCCUAGGGGACGGGCCCGAAAGGCAGCGGCGGCACCGCGUCCGGUCCUCGAGCGUAUGGGGCUUCGUCACCCGCUCCGUAGGCCCGGCCGGCGCUUGCCGACGACCAUCAAUCUCUUUCUCCAGGUUGACCUCGGAUCAGGUAGGGAUACCCGCUGAACUUAAGCAUAUCAAUACGGAGGA
rnacentral:misc_RNA from 1 species